GCAGAUUUGUAUGUGAAUUGUGCCUGAUGGUGAAACCACAGGUUAGUGAUAAUGUAAUUAAUCAGGGAAUUAUAAAAUAAAACUUAUGAUGGUGAGCAAACUAACCCAGCAGUAUUCCGAUCAUAGAUUGACAACAUU